AUUGAACGCUGGCGGCAUGCCUUACACAUGCAAGUCGAACGGCAGCACGGGAGCAAUCCUGGUGGCGAGUGGCGAACGGGUGAGUAAUAUAUCGGAACGUGCCCAGUAGUGGGGGAUAACUGCUCGAAAGAGCAGCUAAUACCGCAUACGACCUGAGGGUGAAAGCGGGGGAUCGCAAGACCUCGCGCUAUUGGAGCGGCCGAUAUCAGAUUAGCUAGUUGGUGGGGUAAAAGCUCACCAAGGCGACGAUCCGUAGCUGGUCUGAGAGGACGACCAGCCGCACUGGGACUGUGACACGGCCGAGACUCCUGCGGGAGGCAGCGGUGGGGAAUUUUGGACAAUGGGCGCAAGCCUGAUCCAGCCAUGCCGCGUGCGGGAAGAAGGCCUUCGGGUUGUAAACCGCUUUUGUCAGGGAAGAAACGGCUCCUACUAAUACUGGGGGCUAAUGACGGUACCUGAAGAAUAAGCACCGGCUAACUACGUGCCAGCCGCCGCCGUAA
rnacentral:rRNA from 1 species